UACGUAGGGUGCGAGCGUUGUCCGGAAUUAUUGGGCGUAAAGAGCUUGUAGGCGGUUUGUCGCGUCUGCCGUGAAAAUCCGAGGCUCAACCUCGGACUUGCGGUGGGUACGGGCAGACUAGAGUGUGGUAGGGGAGACUGGAAUUCCUGGUGUAGCGGUGAAAUGCGCAGAUAUCAGGAGGAACACCGAUGGCGAAGGCAGGUCUCUGGGCAUUAACUGACGCUGAGGUGCGAAAGCGUGGGGAGCAAACAGG
rnacentral:rRNA from 1 species